CCCUCCCCCAAGUGUGUGCGCGCGCGCGCGCGUGCUCUCUCUCUCUCUCUCUCUCAAAAAUAAACAGUAAAAAAAAAAAAAAGAUUCUGGAGGAGAGCUUCUAUUAUUAGGUCAUAAAGACUUAGUCACAUCAUGGAAAUGGACUCCAUAAGUUCUACAAUAGCACUCCCAAACUGAUUCCCUUGAGGUGGUCUGCUAAAAAACGAGUCCAUUGAGCAAAUUUGGAAAAUGUUACAUGUUCCUCUCCUGCUUGAGGAUGACAAGAGAUUACGAACAUUAAAGACUCUGAAACGUCCUUCAGUGAAAAAAAAAGAAAACCAUUUAACUUUAACCCUGCUUUGCCCAAAUUAACUAUAUUUUAAACUUAAUAUCCUUUGGGAAAAGGCAACUUGGGAAAAUACUUUGUCCCAGGUUGCUAUAAUUAGAGUAGUUAAGAAUAGAAUUAAGAUCUCUUUUCUCAUCAGUUGUUGGAGCGAAUAUGGUUCAAAAUCAGAAAAAUUUCAUUUUAACCUGUGGAUAAAUGCUAGACUACACAGAAUUGUGUGUGUGUGUGUGUGUGGGAUGUGUUUCAUAGCACCUUGAUCUUCUUCAAUCAGGUUGUGGUAACUGUUUGGGAGCGGAAUUUAUUCUGUGUUGUGUUGAGCUGAUAGCUAAAAAACCUUAAACAAGAUUACUUGUAAAAGAAAAUGCCUAAGAGACUAGAGCUUAUGGCUCUGUGGGCGGUGAGUUCAAGACAUUGAUUCUCAUUUUCCAAAUGUAUAGUCAGUGAACAUUUUGUAAAUACUUUUAUAUAGGACAUCAUAUUUGGAUCUGAUUGCUGUUAUCUUUUAAUGUAGGAACCAGAUAACAUCUUGGAUUGAAUAGGGAGGUAGGCAAACUAUUUGAAGUUGGGUUUUUGUUUUGAACAACAGACUUUUGAGACACUUUUGUAACCUCAAGUGUUUGCGUUCCUUGAUAUUAGCCAAAUAUAAGAAGAAUAUAGGAGCCUAAAUUAAUCAGAAGUAAUGGUAUUUCUGUGUCAGGGAAUUGGCUGUAUGUAGUACAGACAAUUCUCCAUUUUCUGCAAAUAGGGUUCCUGUAAUAGUCACAUAAUUGUGGGCUUGCUUUUUCUUAUUCUCUAGCCAGUUUGUACUCAGGGAACAUAAACUGGUUUUUUAUAGUAGAUGAGACAUAAUUGAGAAAAUAAUCAUAAAAAAAAGUUACAGGUUUUUUGACUGUUUGAAUUUGUUGCUUCUAAUGUGCAGUAUGCUCAGUUAAUAUAAGCACUGUAUCUUCCAUUUAUAAAGUAGAAAAGCUUAGAAUGUGCCUACCAUGGACACUGUAUCUUUGUCUAUUCACUGGUUAAGAAUUUAAAUCCUGGUAAUGGCUGUGAAAUCUCAAUAUCUAAAUGCUAAACAUCUUCACAGUUUUGUCCGUUUUCGUUUUUAAAGAACUCCACCUUUUCAUUCUGGCAUUUCUUUACCUGGUCAUUCUGUCACUCUGUGACUUUUUAAAUGGGGAAUGUAAUUUAUUUUAAUAAUUCUCAGAGGCUCUAUUAGAAACUCUGGAUGAGGGAUAUGUGCAAUGUUAGUAAGUCACACCUAUGUUGACCUCAGUUUGUAACCUCUAAAGUGGGAGGAAAAGACUAAAAGGCCUCUGAGGUACCUUUGAGCUUUAAAGUUCUGUCUUGCCUUUUUUUUUAUGUGAUUUGUGUUAGUGUUCACUUUGUAUAUAUUUAGGGGUUUUAUAGUGUGAAUGUUCUGUAUUUGUUCCGUGAAUCAUUUUAAAGGUAAAUACUUGAAAAAAAAAUUAAUGUAACUGCCCUCUGGAAUACAAAUGGCAAAAAUCAUACAGAAAACCAAACAUGCUAAAACAUCACAUGCACUUAGCAUAAGCAAAAUAUGACUAAUUUGAAGUGUUGGAAGUGUUCCAAACAUUUUUAUAGUGACUUUUAGAUCCCCAGACCGUAUCUAUUAACUUAUUUAGUACAUUACAGUAACGUUGCGAGGUAACCAUUUUCCAGAUGAGGAAGCAGGACCACAGAGCCCUUCAGAAAGCUUUAAUGCCAUACAUGUAUUCAGCGAUGAUCAUGGCUCUGUGUAUGCCACCUGCCUCCAGGGGAGACCCGGUGACUCCCUAAAACAUCUGAGUAGCUGAGUAAUAAAGAUAAAUCAGAUAGAUUGCUUUCGAGUCUUAGAGUGACAUAAAAUAGUCUUAAUUGAAUAUUUCUUAGUUUAAUUAUUUGAACUGGUUGAUUGUACUAACUAAAUUAUCUGAAGUAUUUAUGAUUAGCAUAUUGAUAUUUAAAAGUACUUCUGAGUUACUGAGGUGCUUACAAAAUACUAGAAAAACUUUUAGGCAUGAAUCAUUUUACUUAGAUAAUUCUAAGUAGCACAAUCUUUUAUAAAAAGGAAGACUGGCCCCAGCCCCUAACUUAACUUAUCAUAGUUUUUGACUGAUACCUGAAUUGGGCUUCCCUAAAUUUCAUAUACAGAUUGAUAAUUUUUCAUUUUGUAUGUGUAUUUAGAUGAUUAACACUAUUUUCAUAGAGUAUAUUUCUAUUCACAGACUACCCAAUUAUGGGCUUGAUAGUCUCCCAGAUCUUACAAAACUUUAAAAUGUGAUUUGUUUGAUGAGCUUUCAAAAAGAUAUGUUCCUUAAACAAGUUGCUGGCAUCCUUACUAGCUCUUCCACAUAUAAUCGUGAUACAUUUGAUGCCACUGAACAGAAAUAGCACGAAUAAUAGCACUCACAGUCUAGACUGGCUUGCGUUUGAAUUGAACUUUUUCAGCCACGACCUGUUAAGAAUCGGGCCAGGUCUCAAAGUUAGCAAGCAGACUGUGGGCUUUUUAGUAUCGGUGGGAGCCAGUGUCCGUGUUUACCGCCAGCCUUGUACAGCAGUGCCAGCUUGUGGCCAUGACUGUGAUGUGACUUUCAGUAAUUACCGUUUAUAUCUAAAGCAGUUUAGCUCUUAGGGAAGUAGCUUAUGAUGAUUCGGACAAGCAAGGUAGGUAAAUUUCAGUUACAUUUAAAGUGCAAUUAAGGAAACCCUACAGUAGUGUGCUUUUUCCAGGACAAAAACUUCAGUAUUUGUAGAAUAUCCUAGCAUGGAAAUUUUUCUGAACGUAGAUAGAAUUUUGAGGAGGUUCAUACAUGUGACUUUUUGAAGGUUAACUACUGUGUGUUGAUUUAAAAUUUCAAGAAGGAAUAGGAAUGUUCUCUUCAAGGAGAACUGCAUAGUUAAUUUUUUGCUGCUAACGUAAGCAUUUAUUUUUCACGGCCAAAAAAUGCCUUUUCAGUUAGUUUUGUUAAAAAGAAAGGCCAUUCUUCAAGAUCGAUGACGUUUUCCGGGAUGGAAAAAGAACGAGAUCCAUUGUUGUAAACAAACACACCUUAAUUGUGCCUUCUCAAAUUCGAGGAAUAGUCAUAACGAGUCAAAAAUUUGAACUUUUUUCUAAUUCCUCUCCUUUUUCCUUCCAUCUGCCCUUCACAGAUGGUUACUUUGCUUUUUUGCCUGUUUGUUUUCAGGCUCCUGUGGCCAGGCCUUCCCCUGUCAGAAGCUGUUCACUGGAUGUAUUUUUCUAUUCCUUUUACAUUGCUUCACUUUUUAAGUCACUUUGGCAAAACGUUGGCUGCUUUCUCAUGUUUUUAAAAUUAAUAGCAAUCUUUGUAUUUCAGCCCUUUAACAUGUUUGUGAAGGCAAGAAAUAGUGCAGAGCAAAGAACAAAAAUCUAAUUUGGAACUGAUUCUCGGUUUGGUUGUGUUUUCUCAUCUACAAAAUGUGGACAAUAACCUACCUCACAGAUGUGUGAGAAACUGAAGGCCCUCACUUAAAUACAGGGUUUAUCAUCCUAUUUAAGUUUUGUUUGUUAGGUAUUUUUUGUGGGUGUCGAAUGAUCAGUGAGAAGGCUCUGUCUUCCAGUAACCACGCGGUGAAGCUGUCAUCUUGAACUACAUGGCACUUCAUACUUCUAGGUUCUCCCUGAUUCAUAUUUGCACUGUGCGUAUUCACAGGUAACAAACACAAAAGAGAAAAGCAGCCCGAUUGCUUAUAAGCUUUUUUCACAAGAUCAAAUUAAAGUCUCUGGUUAAUGUGAAAGCUAUUUUUGUUUCUGCUCAGUCAUUAAGCUAAUAUUCUACACAUCAGUUAAUACUUAGAGAGAAAGCUGUUGAAGGAAAAGAUUGCCUGUGAUUCCUUGAAGAUUUCGUACUACUUUUUGUUGUACAUUGUAGUUUCUAACUUUAGCCACUGUAUUUUCUAUUGAUGCCAUAACAAAUUAUUAUAAACCAGUGACUUAACACCAGUUUAAUAUCUUACAGUUCUGUACGUCAGAAGUUUGGUGUUGCUUCUUCAGGUCACACAGGCUGUGACACAAGGUCACAAAAGCACUGGUAGGGUUGGGCUCUGGGGAAUCAUCUGUUUCAAGGCUGCUUCACAUUGUUGGCAGAAUUUCGGUGCAUGCUGCUAUGGGAUUGAAAUCCCAUUUCUUGUGUGGCUAUUGGCUAGGGAUCAUUCGCAGCUUCUAGAGGCCACCAUCAUUCCCUAGCCUGUGGCUCCCUUUAGCUUCAAGGCCCGCCACGGCGGGGUGGGGGGUGGUGGUUCAUGCUUGAAUCUGUCCUGCCUCCUCUUCUGCUUUCCUCUUCUUAUUUUUAAGGGCCCCUGUGAUGAAAAGUCAACUGGCUAGGGACCUUAAUUUUACAGGAGUAACACCAGUGCAUACAAAUCACAGAGGAAAAAAAUCUGCUUACCCCAACCAUAGGAUAGGAAGGGAAAGGACCUCAGUGUAAAAACAACAGAAUUUUACACUAAAGGCUUUGUAGGGUAGAAAACGAACAAUGUAGAUGUGAGCCUAUGUACUUAAAAUGGUCGCCACUCAUACUUCUCUAAAUGCAACUAUCUGAAAAAUACUGUAUGGUAAUCUGCUUGAAAAACAUGUAAGAUUUCAAUUUGCCUUCUACAAACUUUAAAGAGAUUUGCUUUUAUUAGUUAAAAUGUUUUUCUUUUGUUUCUUCAAUUGCAUGGGUAUGGAUACUUACUGUAGGAAGUUUGAAGAAGGUGAAAAAAAAUAAUCCCUACUCUUUUGUCCCCAAAGCAGCACUUCUUAGGAAGUUGUUAUUAUAUAUUCAUUUCUUUCUCUUCCUAUUCUUUCAAAAGUUUUGAAGAUGUACAGGAGAGGGCCUGGUCAAGAGAAAGCUCUGUCCUCUUGGAAGGGCAAGCGUUUCAGAGGUUCUCAAAAGGAGGAAGGGAAGGUCUUGUUGGGGCAGGCAUACAGGUUGCUGGAGGCCUGGCCCCUAUGUGAAGUUGAGUGUGCCAAUGUUAGCCUCCUUUAAGGUCAAGUACCUUUGGAUGCUGUUGUCUUUAUCUGUUUAUGUAAAAUUAACAAGUCCAUCUUUCUAUUGAAGUUUUAUGCUAGGUUAGGGUUUGUAGGAGACAGAUGGCAUCUGCUUUGAUAGCACUGAAGUAUUAGUUACAGUGUUGACCUUAAUAAACCUCAUAGAUAAAUAAUGAGAUACUUGGUUUGAAUGCUGUGAUUUAAAGAAUGGGAGAAAUGUGGCUGAAAUUAGUGAAAUAGAUACAUAACAUUAAUUAUGGAUAGAAGCAGUUAUUCCUCCUAAAAACAUAUUCCAUAUCAAUAAAUAGUAAUUAGGUAGUAGUUUAUUUUUUAAAAACAGAAAAUACUCAAUUUACCUAGAACAUCCCAGCCAUUCUUUCAAGUCUUAAGAUUUGAAUGUCAAAACCAUAUUUUUGUUUCUAACAUCUGCCACCUACAGAAAACACCAGGUAUCAAAAUAAUAUGUACACAGUAUUGCACAUUAAGGAUUUUAGGACACAUUUAUAUUAUUGUGACAGCCUGAUAACACUGUGAAGUAGACAGGUUGAGUGUUAUCAGCCUUUUUAAAAUUUAUUUCUGAGAGCGUGUGAGCCAGGGAGGGGCAGAGAGGGAGACAGAGUAGCCCUGUUUUACUGAGGAAAGUGAGGCUCAGAGCUGAGCUACUGAAUCAGAACAAGUGACUGUGUGAUGAGGUGGCAAGAUGGGUACAUGAUUUCUGACUCUUCUGCACAGGAUUGUUGGAGGAGAGGUCUCUGCUCAGCCUCUCUCUCACUCACUCACCUCCUUGUCCACAGGCCAUACGUAGCCUCAUCUUCUACAGUGCCCACGGCAAUAGGUCUUUUCCCUGGAGCGUGUGAGAGGGCUGUGCUGGCCUCUCAUGGAGUAGCUGUAAUUCAGGGGGGUCCGAGCAGCAAUGUAUUCCCAGUCUAUGGAUUGAGCCCUUCAUUUCUGCUGUGUUAUUCCUUAUCUCUGUGUUAAGGGUCUCACUGAUACCUUCCAGUCCUCUCUCAAGUCCCGUGAGUAUGCUUAUGAUCAUUGCUUCAUCAGGCAUGUGACUUGUAUCUAUUUUAGUUAGGUUUCCAGCUGUGGCUCAUCUUGGUUCUUUCAUUUGGGAAAAAUUCUUGCGAUGUCUCCUGGUCUUCAGCCUAAUAGCUUUGUGAAGAAGGGGGCCUCUCGUGCCCUUCCAGGAGGGUCACUGCUGUGUACUGUGUGUGCCCAGGCUGCUUUAUCCUUCAGGCCAGUAGUCUGCAGAGGCUCUUUGCCUGUUGCGGGCAGUGUCCCAGGCCAGAAUGUGGUGCGUUUUAACUAAGUCUUCUGCCACUGGAACCGAGGCCACACAAAACUCCCAGGUUGGAAUGGGCUGGAGACAUGGUGUCGCCAGGGGUUUGGGCCCGUCUCCUGGGGGAGGGAGCCGGCCGCACGGCCUGAAGCAAGCUGACUGGGAAAGUAGUUCUUCUAGAACAUGGGGAGGUGGGGCUCGGUGUCGUCAGCAAGUGAGGUAGUGAGUGUGGCACUGUGCUAAUUCCUGCAGGUGGCCCUACCCACCUUCUUUGACGUGGCCUUUUCUCCACCUUUAGUUGGGGAGUUUGUUCUGCCAGUCUUCAGAUUGAUUUCUGGGGUAUUUAGGAUGAUUUGAUAGUUACCCAGUUGCAUUCAUGGGAGGAGGUAAGCCUAGAGUAUUCCUACCCUGCUGCCACAUUCCCCUUUCCUCUAAUGGGUACUUUUUAUGCUUGGCCUUUAUUGGUGAGUGCCAUUUGGAACAUGAGAAAGAAGAUAAAAGAACCUAGAAGCUUAAAAAAAUAGUUUCACAGUAUAAAGAAUUAGGUCAUGAGACAAAUUCCAUUACACCCUUGAAGACUAGAUUCAGCCUGUCUAAACAAUCGAGCAGAAUUGUUCGGUUGUUCAGGGCUGAAGAAGCUGCUUAAAACAGCUGUAUGCCUAUGUACAAUUUAUCUCAUGGACAGGCAGUGCACAUCAUGUAAAAACAAAGAAAGUGGAACUGUAAAUAACAUUAAUUCUAUUUGAAUAGGUAUUUAGGCAUAGAAUUAUUUUUCUUACUUGGAUGACAGGAUGUUUUAAACUGACAGCAUAUAUAUAUAUAUAAAAUUGUGUUAAUUUAGGCUCUUCCUUUAGGAAUAAAUUGCUUUUUAGCAUUCUGUUCCCAAAGGAAGCCAAUAUUGAAUAGCAUUUGUCUGAUUUUGGUUUUCUGAUAAAGCAGAAGGACACUUACUUUUACCUUGAUUUUUUUUUUUUUUCUAAAGCCUGAGCCAUAAUUACAUUCAAGAUUAUACCUUAAAUCUGAGUAUUUAAAAGACCUUGGUUACAUUAUUUAUUUUUCAGAAUUAAAUUACAUGCAAUUUAAAUGCACAACAUCUUCUAGAAAUUAUAAACACUCGUAUACUAAUAUUAGAAGCAAACUAACCAUCUGCACAACUGCCUAGGUGCCAUAAGGCAUGAUUUCUAACUUUGGCUAUGGCUCAUUAAAUAAGUGCUCAAAUGCUAACGCACACAGUUUCACAUUCUCUUGAGCCAGCAGUGAAAUAGAUACUGAAAUAGACAUUGAAAGAUAACCAUUUAGGAGUAAAACCAACAUCUAAAUAUGGAGGAUUUGUUUUUCUCUUCUCCAGUUCCACAGAUCCCACCAUCCCAAUUGACCUGUGAACUGAAACAGGUGAGGCAGAACUAAGGUCUCAGAUUAGUCCUUCCUAGUGGAGCCCCUGCCCCUGGAGCUUCAUCUUCCUAAGGUGACCAACCUUGAUGCCUGAGAAAACAGAAAGGUAGAGGCCCGUGGAGUAGUGAGUGGUAGAUUUCUUACCCAGUUUGCAAGAGACUAUUAUUGCAUUUCCUGUUACCAGACUUCUAUACAGAGCAUAAAAAUACCAAAGUAAUCCUUACAACUUUUCCGGAAUUUAAAUAAAUUGGGUAGUCUUUCCUUGAGACUGACACACACACCAGUGUCUUAUAUUUAGGAUUCAUGAUUUGUAGUAUAAAAUCAAACCACUUACUUGAAAUCUAGAUGUUCAAGUAGUACAUAUCCAUCUAUAGAAACAAAAAUCACUAUUACUCGUCUCAAAGGUAUAGAAUGCUUUCAGAUUUUUCUUAAACAGUGACUGAAAUUUUAUGGGUGAUAAGCCAGUAACUUACAUUUGCCUUUAGAAUUGCGACAAAUCACUAGAUUUUCUUCAGUGGUGUCAAUGACUUGCAGUUCUUCUCCAGGGGUUAUUGGCAAAUCAAACAUUCCAUUUCUUGAAUUCCUGGAACAUGCCACUGCUGUGUUGAUGACAGUAAUCUCUUUAUCAUACUGAAACAAGAAAUUACUAGUCAGACUAUGUGUGCAUAGUUUUUAUUCUAACAAAAUUGAUGGAGGACAUAAAAUAAUAGUAAAAUGCCACAAUCUUACAUUUAAUUUGGUAUAAUCAUAUUUUCAAAGUAUUUUCAUCCCUGUUAUCUAAUUGUACUAGAAUAAAUUUUGGUGGAUGAGAGGUCUCUAACAUGGGUGUAAAGAAAUAGGUAUAUACGUUAACCAUUCCAGUAAUAAAGUUACCCCCAAACUCAGGAAUGGAGAAGUUUAAAAAAUAAGAGGGAAAGCGGGAAAAUCGGUGUAGCGCUUUAGAGUUUAUAAUGUUCUUACAUACCUAGCUUUGCUAGGUGGCACUCUUUCUACCUUUCCUCUCUGGGCUUAUGUAUAAAGUAGUAGGAAUGGGGGCUAAUUCCCACUCUCCUUCUGUGGUCAAAAGACAGGCGUUUGUGAAACAAACUGAGGAGGAAUUCAAUGUCUGACCUUAAGGUGUGUGAUAAACUAGCCAGCCUAUGCAUUUAUAGGUGCAUCACCUUGUAAUGUAUUGAAAUCUGGUGACUCAGACCUCUGCUUCACCAAAUUAGAGUGGCCGGACACCUCCCUCUGCUCAGGACAGUCUGUUUAUACCUAAUAUCUCUACACAUACUUACCUCCCACUCUCAGAAAUGUAAAUUUGGAUGAUAAAUGAUGGGAUCUGAUUCACAAGAUAGAUUCUGCUUUUGUCCAACAAAGUAAUAGUUUCCUCCCUGGUUUCUAGGCCAUUGUUCACUAUGAAUACAGUGAUUUCUUAACAUGAAAAUCUGAUCAGGUCACUUUCCUUUCUGUCAAGUGCUAAAGAUUCUUCAUUACUUGCACACUAAGAUCCACAUUUCUCAGCUUGAUAUUCAGGGUCCUUUGCAGACUGUCAUUUCUCAUGCUUCCAUUUCUGCCCUGUUAAUGAAGCCACAUCAAGCUAUAGGAUGAUCCUGAAUAUACCAUGUACCUUUUAUAUUUCCAGGCCGUUGCUCAUGGGGUUUUCAUACCUGCAGUAUCUUUUUUCUUAACAUGAAGACUUUCACGACUGCCAUGUGUAAUUUUGUUUAAUUGCACCACUUUGUAUGUACUCCUGUUACAGCAUUUAAUAAACAUAUUGUCUUAUAAAA